AAAGGGAGAUAGCAGAGCCGUGUUCCCAAGGCGAGACUCAUUCAAUGCACCCUGCUUGUUCUGAUCCCAGCAGUUCACAAAUGUGGGAAACUUCCCUGCACAAUUUGUGGUAAUGGAGGUGUGCAUUUAUUCAGGCUUCUG
rnacentral:snRNA from 1 species